GAAACUCUAACGAGCCCUCCUUCCAUCCUCAACUUUUACAACCCUAAUCUUCUCCACUCUCACUAUUCUUUCAUCUCUGCCGCCUCCGACCUCCCUGCCCACGAGGUGACUUCCGAUCUGUUCUUUCUCAUCCAACUUGUUGCCAAUGCCUCCCAAUUUCAACACGAUUCGGUCCCUACAUUUCCAACACUUGCCGCUUGAUCUAUGAUGUCAGCCAUCGAGUUUAUCUCGAUAUCAAUUCCUCGUCCUGGGCUUUGCUUAUUGACUCCUCAC